rnacentral:rRNA from 1 species
GAUGAACGCUGGCGGCGUGCCUAACACAUGCAAGUCGAGCGCGAUUAAGUGGAGUGAGGACUUCGGUCUAAGUGAAGCUUAUGAAAGCGGCGGACGGGUGAGUAACGCGUGGGUAACCUGCCCCAUACAAAGGGAUAGCCACUGGAAACGGUGAUUAAUACCUUAUAAGUCGGUAGUCUCGCAUGAGACAGCCGACAAAGAUUUAUCGGUAUGGGAUGGACCCGCGUCUGAUUAGCUAGUUGGUGAGGUAACGGCUCACCAAGGCGACGAUCAGUAGCCGACCUGAGAGGGUGAUCGGCCACACUGGAACUGAGACACGGUCCAGACUCCUACGGGAGGCAGCAGUGGGGAAUAUUGCACAAUGGGCGCAAGCCUGAUGCAGCAACGCCGCGUGAGUGAUGAAGGCUUUCGGGUCGUAAAACUCUGUCCUAUGGGAAGAAAAAAUAGACGGUACCAUAGGAGGAAGCCCGGCUAACUACGUGCCAGCAGCC